ACGGCAGUUUGUUCUAUCGCCUUUGCCCGUGAGGGCAGGGGAGGAAAGUCGGGACAACGCAGAGCACCUUGCUUCCUAACGGGAAGGUACCGUGAAAGCGGUAACAGCCAGUGCCACAGAAAAUAACCGUCGUGCCUCUGGUGCGAUAAGGGUGAAAAUGUGAGGUAAGAGCUCACGGCAUCGGAUGGUGACAUCAGAUGGGGGUAAACCUCAGGGGUUGAAAGGCCAAAUAAACCGGGGAUGGUUGCAUUUAGGUGCAAUCGGGAGGGUUGCUCGCCCGAGCCCGGAGGGUAGGCCGAUAGAGGUGUCGGGUGACCGGCAUCCCAGAUAAAUGGUAGAAGCCCUGCUUCGGCAGGGAACAGAAUCCCGCUUACAGAACUGUCGUUUUU
rnacentral:RNase_P_RNA from 5 species